rnacentral:rRNA from 1 species
AUUCCUACGGGAGGCAGCAGUGAGGAAUAUUGCGCAAUGGGGGAAACCCUGACGCAGCAACGCCGCGUGGGUGAAGAAGGCCUUCGGGUCGUAAAGCCCUUUCGGACGGGACGAACGCUCCGCGGUGACAAACCGCGGAGUCUGACGGUACCGUAGGAAGAAGCACCGGCUAACUCCGUGCCAGCAGCCGCGGUAAUACGGAGGGUGCGAGCGUUGUUCGGAUUUAUUGGGCGUAAAGAGCGUGUAGGCGGCCGCACAGGUCCGUUGUGAAAACUGGAGGCUCAACCUUCAGACGUCGAUGGAAACCGUGCGGCUAGAGUCCGGAAGAGGAGAGUGGAAUUCCUGGUGUAGCGGUGAAAUGCGCAGAUAUCAGGAAGAACACCCGUGGCGAAGGCGGCUCUCUGGGACGGUACUGACGCUGAGACGCGAAAGCGUGGGGAGCGAACAGGAUUAGAUACCCUGGUAGUCCAUGCCGUAAACGGUGGGAACUAGGUGUGGGUCUCAUUCCACGAGAUCCGUGCCGCAGCUAACGCAUUAAGUUCCCCGCCUGGGGAGUACGGCCGCAAGGCUAAAACUCAAAGGAAUUGACGGGGGCCCGCACAAGCAGCGGAGCGUGUGGUUUAAUUCGAUGCUACACGAAGAACCCUUACCCAGGCUUGACAUACAGGUGGUAGGGAUCCGAAAGGUGACCGACCCGCAAGGGAGCCUGAACAGGUGUUGCAUGGCUGUCGUCAGCUCGUGUCGUGAGGUGUUCGGUUAAGUCCGCUAACGAGCGCUACCCUCGUCGCGUGUUAUACGUGUCACGCGAGACCGCCGGUAUUAAGCCGGAGGAAGGUGGGGAUGACGUCAAGUCAGCAUGGCCUUUAUGCCUGGGGCUACACACACGCUACAAUGGGCAGUACAAUGGGUUGCUAAGCCGCGAGGUGGAGCCAAUCCCCCAAAACUGUCCUCAGUUCAGAUUGCAGGCUGCAACUCGCCUGCAUGAAGCCGGAGUUGCUAGUAAACGCGCGUCAGCUAUAGUGCGUUGAAUACGUUCUCGGGCCUUGUACACACCGCC